GACGAACGCUGGCGGCGUGCCUAAUACGUGCAAGUCGAGCGGACAGAAGGGAGCUUGCUCCCGGAAGUUAGCGGCGGACGGGUGAGUAACACGUGGGCAACCUACCCUGUAGAUCGGGAUAACAUCGAGAAAUCGGUGCUAAUACCGGAUAAUCAUUUGAAGUGCAUGCUUCGAAUGUAAAAGAUGGCUCCGGCUAUCACUACGGGAUGGGUCCGGGGCGCAUUAGCUAGUUGGUAAGGUGAUGGCUAACCAAGGCAACGAUGCGUAGCCGACCUGAGAGGGUGAUCGGCCACACUGGGACUGAGACACGGCCCAGACUCCUACGGGAGGCAGCAGUAGGGAAUCUUCCGCAAUGGACGAAAGUCUGACGGAGCAACGCCGCGUGAGUGAUGAAGGUUUUCGGAUCGUAAAGCUCUGUUGUUAGGGAAGAACAAGUGCCGUUUGAAUAAGGCGGCACCUUGACGGUACCUAACCAGAAAGCCACGGCUAACUACGUGCCAGCCGCCGCCGUAACAC
rnacentral:rRNA from 1 species